ACGGAGGGAGCUAGCGUUGUUCGGAAUUACUGGGCGUAAAGCGCGCGUAGGCGGCUUUGUAAGUUAGAGGUGAAAGCCCGGAGCUCAACUCCGGAACUGCCUUUAAAACUGCAUCGCUUGAAUCCAGGAGAGGUGAGUGGAAUUCCGAGUGUAGAGGUGAAAUUCGUAGAUAUUCGGAAGAACACCAGUGGCGAAGGCGGCUCACUGGACUGGUAUUGACGCUGAGGUGCGAAAGCGUGGGGAGCAAACAGGA
rnacentral:rRNA from 1 species